GGCAGUUGUGGUUUAGGGGUUAAGACUCAUGCGUUACUGAUCAGAAGGUCGGGGUUCAAGCCCCAGCACUGCCA